AUUACCGCGGCUGCUGGCACGAAGUUAGCCGGACCUUCUUAUUCGGGUACAGUCAUUUUCUUCCCCGACGAAAGAGCUUUACAACCCAAGGGCCUUCUUCACUCACGCGGCAUCGCUGCAUCAGAGUUUCCUCCAUUGUGCAAGAUUCCCCACUGCUGCCUCCCGUAGG
rnacentral:rRNA from 1 species